rnacentral:snRNA from 1 species
AUACUUACCUGGCAGAGGAGACACCAUGAUCAAGCAGGUGGUUUUCCCAGGGCAAGGCUUAUCCCUUGCACAACUGGUGUUCUGACCCCUGCGAUUUCCCCAAAUGCAGGAAACUCGACUGCAUAAUUUGUGGUAGUGGGGCACUAAGACGAUCCAG